CAGCAGCCGCGGUAAUACGGAGGGAGCUAGCGUUGUUCGGAAUUACUGGGCGUAAAGCGCGCGUAGGCGGUUACUCAAGUCAGAGGUGAAAGCCCGGGGCUCAACCCCGGAACUGCCUUUGAAACUAGGUGACUAGAAUCUUGGAGAGGUCAGUGGAAUUCCGAGUGUAGAGGUGAAAUUCGUAGAUAUUCGGAAGAACACCAGUGGCGAAGGCGACUGACUGGACAAGUAUUGACGCUGAGGUGCGAAAGCGUGGGGAGCAAACAGGAUUAGAUACCCCUGUAGUCCCUGUCUCCUUAUA
rnacentral:rRNA from 1 species